CACGGGGGUGGCAAGCGUUGUCCGGAAUUACUAGGCGUAAAGGGCAGGUAGGCGGUUGUAUAAGUUAAUCGUUAAAGACCCAUGCUUACCAUGGGGAAGGCGGUUGAUACUGUAUAACUGGAAGCCGGUGGGGGAAGACGGAAUUCCUGGUGUAGCGGUGGAAUGCGCAGAUAUCAGGAGGAACACCGAAGGCGAAGGCAGUCUUCUAUACCGGUCUUGACGCUAAACUGCGAAGGUGCGGGGAU
rnacentral:rRNA from 1 species